CAUGGUAGAGCAUGCAAGAGGAUACUUCAAAGAAAUAUAAAACAAUUAAGAAAGCUGAUAACAUGCAGAGCCUCAAGAGGACACUUCAAAGAAAUUGCUUGUUGAAUUGAUUUCUUUGUAUUAAACUAAUUUCUUUAACGCGUCACUCCCCAAUAGGAACUUUCCUUGCAGGUCCAUCCCAUGCAAGGCGGCCUUAUAAAAUGUUGGUCCUGCCUUGUCCUCUGUACGUACUCAAAGCAAACAUAUCUUCCUUCUAUCCCUCUAGUGAUUCCUCAAGAGCCCUUUUUACCAUUCCUUCACCAACCAUCAACAAAUGGCAGAAGCCAUUAUCGUCAACGUUGCUGCAAAAAUCAUUGAGAGCUUGGGAUCCCAGGCUCUCAAAGAGAUCGGACUGCUUUGGGGUGUCAAAGAUGAGCUUGAGAAGCUCCAGAACACCUUUUCAACAAUCCAAGCCGUGCUUCGUGAUGCUGAGGAGCAAUCGGCAGUUAACCUUCAAGUUAGAGAUUGGCUCGAAAAGCUUAAGGAUGUCGCUUAUGAUGCAGACGACUUGCUGGAUGGUUUCUCCACUGUACAUCUGUUGCGAGAGAUGAUGACUCGGGAUAAGAUGGCAAAAAAGGUACGAAUCUUCUUCUCCAAAUCAAACCAGCUUGUCUAUGAUUUUAAAAUGGGCCAUAAGAUUAAGGCCAUUAGACAGAAGUUAGAUGCCAUUUCAAAUGACAGGAUGAAAUUCCACUUCAAUGAACGCCCUAUGGAGAUAGGAGUCAGGGCUAGGAAUACUCAUUCCUAUGUACCCGAGGCAGAAGUUAUUGGUAGAGAGGAUGCCAAGAAGGAGAUCAUAGAUAUACUUCUUUCUGAUUCCAAUGUUGAAGGGAAUGUAGGAAUCCUUCCGAUUACUGGCAUCGGAGGAUUAGGAAAGACCACACUAGCUCAACUCAUAUUUAAUGAUCUGAAAGUAGAUGCACAUUUUCAGCUAAAAAUGUGGGUGUGCGUCUCUGAUAAUUUUGUUGUUAGAAAAGUUGUUGAAAAUAUCCUACAAUCGGCAACAAAAAAGAAACAAGAGAGUGUUGAAAUGGACACAUUGGUGCAUCGUCUUCGAGAAAAAAUUGGUGGAAAGAAAUACUUACUUGUGUUGGAUGAUGUUUGGAACGAGGAUGUUGGAAAAUGGCAUGAAUUGAAAAAACUAUUGAUGACUGGUGCAAUUGGGAGUAGAAUACUAUUAACUACACGUAGUGCACAAGUUGCAAGAAUUACCCAAUCAAUUGAACUAUACUCCUUACAGUGCUUAGACAGCCAGAAGUCAUGGUGUUUAUUCAAGCAAGUGGCAUUUGUGGACGGGCAAGAGCCAGUGAAUUCUAGAAAAAAAGUCGAAGUUGGAAAGAAGAUUGUAGAAAAGUGUUCAGGUGUCCCUCUUGUCAUCAAAACAAUUGGAAGUUCACUAAUCUUUAAAGAUUCUGAAGAGUGGGUUAAUUUCGAAAAAAAUAAACUGGCAAAAACAAAAGAAAAUGAAAUCAUACCAACUCUUAAGCUGAGUUAUGAUCAACUUCCAUCACAUUUGAAACAAUGUUUUGCUUAUUGUAGUAUAUUUCCGAAGGAUUACGUGAUGGAAAAAUCAAAAUUGAUAAAUCUCUGGAUAGCACAGGGUUUUAUCAAGCCUUCCAAUCAAAAUGAAUGUCUUGAAGAUGUUGGUCAUGAGUAUUUCAUGGAUUUACUUUGGAGAUCCUUCUUUCAAGAAGCUGAAAUGGAUGGUUUAGGAAAUGUGUUUACGAUUAAAAUGCACGACCUCAUGCAUGAUCUUGCAAGCUCAGUAGCAGGAUCGUUGAUCACCAGAUUAGAAUCUGAGGAAAAAAGUGUUAGUGAUCUGAAAACUCGGCACGUAUCAGUCGUCGGCAAUAUAGAUUUUUCCUUAGUAAUUCCAACUUCCUCAUCUAAAGCCAGUAAGACACGAACACUUCUUUGCCUUGGCAAAUUCUUCGAGAAUUUGCAAGAGUACCCAGGUACUUCAUGUGAAGCAAUCUUUUCAAGUUUUAAGUUCUUGCGCGCGCUGGCUUUAAAUGGAAGAAGGUUCCAUUUAGUACCGAGUUCCAUAUGUAAGUUGAAGCAUUUAAGAGAUCUUGAUCUUUCAUGGAAUGAUAAAAUUAAGAAGCUGCCCGAUUCCAUAAGUAGGUUGCAAAAUUUGUAUUCACUAAGACUCUCUGGUUGCUCGAGUCUUGAAGAAUUGCCUACAGGAAUUACGAAAUUAGUCAACCUCAGGCAUCUUUACAAUGAUGAAUGUAGAAGUUUGACUUAUAUGCCACGUGGAUUGGGGCAAUUGAAAAAUCUUCAGACAUUAUCUACGUUUCAUUUCCCCUCUGAUUCGGCCCCAGAGGAUAUUGGCCAGUUAAGCGAGCUAAAUACACUAAAUAGCUUAAGAGGAGUAUUACAGAUUUUGGGUUUGAGACAUGGGGAAGACUAUAAGGGUGCAAAUCUAAAGGUGAAAGAACAUCUUCAGGUUUUGACUUUAAGUUGGGGAUCAGGAGAAGAUGUUAUUAAUGCACGUGAUGAAAAUAUGGCAUUGGAAGGCCUUGAACCUCACCCAAAUCUUAAAAAGCUGCGUAUAAAUUAUUAUGGGGGUGUGAAGCUUUCGGAAGGUUUUUCGUCACUCACAAAUCUUGUUGAUUUGAGUUUAAGAGGUUGUAAGAAAUUGAAAUAUUUGCCACCAUUGAGUCGACUACCCUCUCUUAAGAGAAUUAAUCUGUUCAAACUUGAGGAAAUAGAGUACGUGUCAGAUUGCAGUGACAACAAUGAGUUAUCUUCUUUUUCUUCAUCAGCAUUCUUCCCAUCUCUGGAGGUAAUUUGGAUCGAAGACUGUCAUAAUCUGAAGGGUUGGUGGAGGAGGAGUGAUUCUUAUAAUGUGGAUGUCAAUACUACUGAUCAUGCUUUACUAUUUCCUCGUCUUUCAUAUUUACGAGUAUAUGAUUGCCCUAUGUUGACUUCAUUGCCAAUGUUUCCACAUCUGGAAGAAGUGUUAUACCUACACGGUGCCAGGUGGAAGCCAGUGCAACAAACAAUAACGAAUGCCUCCUCCUCCUCCGCUUCCUCUACACCCAUUGCCUUUUCAUCUCCUCCUCUCUCCAAAUUGAAGACAAUAUCCUUAUAUCAUAUUCACGAUCUAGAAACACUGCCAGUGCAAAACCUCACAUCUCUCCAGCAUUUGACGAUAGAUGACUGUCCCAUGCUUGAUCUAGGUAACGAUGAGCACGGGAUGCAAUGGAAAGGGCUUAAAAGCCUCAUCUCUUUGGAGUUUAAAGGUAUUCCGAAAUUGGUGUCUCUCCCUUUGGGGCUUCAACAUGUUACCUCUCUACGAGAGCUCCGAAUCUCAGAUUGUUCGAGCUUGGUGGUUAUACCAGAGUGGAUCUACAAUUGGGCAUCACUUGAGCAGUUCACAAUUGAUAACUGCUCUGGUUUAACAUCACUGUCUGAAGCAAUGAGUAGGCUAACCACUCUACGAGAGCUCCAAAUCUCAAUUUGUCCCAUGCUUGAUCUAGGCAACGGUAUGCAAUGGAAAGGGCUUAAAAGCCUCAUCUCUUUAGAUUUUAAUAGUAUUCCGAAAUUGGUGUCUCUCCCAUUGGGGCUUCAACAUGUUACAACUCUACGAAAGCUCCGAAUCUUUGAUUGUUCGAGCUUGGUGGCUAUACCAGAGUGGAUCUGCAAUUGGGCAUCACUUGAGCAGUUCAAAAUUUUUAGAUGCGAUGGUUUAACAUCACUGCCUGAAGAUAUGCGUAGGCUAACCUCUCUACGAAAGCUCGAAAUCUCAUUUUGUCCCAUGCUUGAUCUAGGCAACGAUGAGCACAGGAUGCAAUGGGAAGGGCUUAAAAGCCUCAUCUCUUUGGAGUUUACGGGUAUGCGGAAAUUGGUGUCUCUCCCAUUGGGGCUUCAACAUGUUACAACUCUACGAAAGCUCCAAAUCUCAUAUUGUUCGAGCUUGGUGGCUAUACCAGAGUGGAUCUGCAAUUGGGCAUCACUUGAGGAGUUCACAAUUUCUACAUGCAAUGGUUUAACAUCACUGCCUGAAGAUAUGCGUAGGCUAACCUCUCUACGAGAGCUCGAAAUCUCAUUUUGUCCCAUGCUUGAUCUAGGCAACGAUGAGCACGGGAUGCAAUGGAAAGGGCUUAAAAGCCUCAUCUCUUUGGAGUUUACGGGUAUGCCGAAAUUGGUGUCUCUCCCAUUGGGGCUUCAACAUGUUACAACUCUACGAAAGCUCCGAAUCUCAUCUUGUUCGAGCUUGGUGGCUAUACCAGAGUGGAUCUGCAAUUGGGCAUCACUUGAGGAGUUCACAAUUUUUAGUUGCAAUGGUUUAACAUCACUGCCUGAAGAUAUGCGUAGGCUAACCUCUUUGAAAAGGUUGGAAAUUUAUGACUGCCCCAUCUUAUUACGAAGAUGCGAACAAGAGAGAGGCGAGGAUUGGCCCAAGAUUGCUCACAUCCCAUACCGGUCCAUACUCUGAUCGAGAAACGACUUCGAGUAAAGAAGAAACAGGGGAGAGGGAUUAAGAGUUUGUUAAAAAAAUCUGAUGCACUGCGACUUCUACAAAUUCUUCACAUCCAGGAGAAUAGUAAUGAGGCGGAAGAAGAGCAAAGGGAAGAAAUAUAGGAGGGGGUUGCGGAGGAGAUCUAGGACUGGAAUUCGAGGGCCGCAAUAUUGAGGCUGUGUAAUUUCACGACAACAAUUUCAACAGGGGCCUGCAUGUUUCUUAGCGUGGAAAGUGAUGGCAAUUUUAUUUUUCUCAAGACUAUCUCAUAUGUCUAAACUUAAGAGUGAUGAUUUGGUUUGCAUGUUGGAGCACAUGUAUAUGAAGUUGAUCAUAGCUACAUGUGCAUGCUCUCCAAGAACAUUUUAUGCCAUCAAUUAUCUUGCAGCUAGCUAUUGCACAGAAAAUGAGGAUUUUCGAUUUCAUCCUAUGCUCGGUUUGUGGCAGCUUGUAACAUAUUUUCUUUCACUCUAAACGGGUUAAUAACUCAUGUUUGCAGUUUGCUAUUGGAGUACCUAUCUAUUACUGUGUUAUCAUUUGAUAUUAUAGAGGAGGUGUCCAAACUUGAUGUGAAUUUUAUAUAAUUCUAGCACUUUUAGUAUUAUUUCAUAUUGAAACAUUCAAA